rnacentral:rRNA from 1 species
AUUGAACGCUGGCGGCAGGCCUAACACAUGCAAGUCGAACGGUAACAGGAAGCAGCUUGCUGCUUUGCUGACGAGUGGCGGACGGGUGAGUAAUGUCUGGGAAACUGCCUGAUGGAGGGGGAUAACUACUGGAAACGGUAGCUAAUACCGCAUAACGUCGCAAGACCAAAGAGGGGGACCUUAGGGCCUCUUGCCAUCGGAUGUGCCCAGAUGGGAUUAGCUAGUAGGUGGGGUAACGGCUCACCUAGGCGACGAUCCCUAGCUGGUCUGAGAGGAUGACUAGCCACACGGGAACUGAGACACGGUCCAGACUCCUACGGGAGGCAGCAGUGGGGAAUAUUGCACAAUGGGCGCAAGCCUGAUGCAGCCAUGCCGCGUGUAUGAAGAAGGCCUUCGGGUUGUAAAGUACUUUCAGCGGGGAGGAAGGGAGUAAAGUUAAUACCUUUGCUCAUUGACGUUACCCGCAGAAGAAGCACCGGCUAACUCCGUG